AGUGAACGCUGGCGGUAGGCCUAACACAUGCAAGUCGAACGGCAGCACAGUAAGAGCUUGCUCUUACGGGUGGCGAGUGGCGGACGGGUGAGGAAUACAUCGGAAUCUACUUUUUCAUGGGGGAUAACGUAGGGAAACUUACGCUAAUACCGCGUACGACCUACGGGUGAAAGCAGGGGAUCUUCGGACCUUGCGCGAUUGAAUGAGCCGAUGUCGGAUUAGCUAGUUGGCGGGGUAAAGGCCCACCAAGGCGACGAUCCGUAGCUGGUCUGAGAGGAUGAUCAGCCACACUGGAACUGAGACACGGUCCAGACUCCUACGGGAGGCAGCAGUGGGGAAUAUUGGACAAUGGGCGCAAGCCUGAUCCAGCCAUACCGCGUGGGUGAAGAAGGCCUUCGGGUUGUAAAGCCCUUUUGUUGGGAAAGAAAAGCAGCAGGUUAAUACCCCGCUGUUCUGACGGUACCCAAAGAAUAAGCACCGGCUAACUUCGUG
rnacentral:rRNA from 1 species